rnacentral:rRNA from 1 species
CGGGGGGAGCAAGCGUUGUUCGGAUUUACUGGGCGUAAAGGGCGCGUAGGCGGCGCAACAAGUCACUUGUGAAAUCUCCGGGCUUAACCCGGAGCGGCCAAGUGAUACUGUCGUGCUAGAGUGCGGAAGGGGCUACUGGAAUUCUCGGUGUAGCGGUGAAAUGCGUAGAUAUCGAGAGGAACACCUGCGGUGAAGGCGGGUAGCUGGGCCGACACUGACGCUGAGGCGCGAAAGCCAGGGGAGCGAACGGGAUUAGAUACCCCGGUAGUCCUGGCCUUAAACGAUGGAUACUUGGUGUCCGGGGUUACGAUAGUCCCCGGGUCGCCGGCGCUAACGCAUUAAGUAUCCCGCCUGGGGAGUACGGUCGCAAGACUG